UCGCCCACGAGCGAUUGUUUCUCGUGAUCACGUGUCUUUGUAUCAAUACAAAAUGGCGGAUCGGUGGGACUUUCGUUCGUUCGGGGCGGGCGGAUUAACUU
rnacentral:pre_miRNA from 1 species